GACGAACGCUGGCGGCGUGCCUAAUACAUGCAAGUCGAGCGGACGAAUCGAAAGCUUGCUUUUGAUUCGUUAGCGGCGGACGGGUGAGUAACACGUGGGCAACCUGCCCUGUAGACGGGGAUAACACCGAGAAAUCGGUGCUAAUACCGGAUAACACGAAAUGUCGCAUGACGUUUCGUUGAAAGACGGCGUAAGCUGUCGCUACAGGAUGGGCCCGCGGCGCAUUAGCUAGUUGGUGAGGUAACGGCUCACCAAGGCGACGAUGCGUAGCCGACCUGGGAGGGUGAUCGGCCACACUGGGACUGAGACACGGCCCAGACUCCUACGGGAGGCAGCAGUAGGGAAUCUUCCGCAAUGGACGAAAGUCUGACGGAGCAACGCCGCGUGAGCGAAGAAGGCCUUCGGGUCGUAAAGCUCUGUUGUUAGGGAAGAACAAGUAACGCAGUAACUGGCGUUACCGUGACGGUACCUAACGAGAAAGCCACGGCUAACUACGUGCCAGCCGCCGCAGUAA
rnacentral:rRNA from 1 species